CUGGAAUUACAGGCGCAACAGAUACACAACACACAGGCAAUUUGUUUGAUGGUGCUAAGGAUACCUAGGGCACAAGGUGCGAGUCCCUCUACCCUCAUAUGCUGUGACGGAAUUCCUUUGCCUCUGAGGAGUAUCAAGGAUUCAAUGCACCUGAGUGAUGGAUGGGACAAUUCACUGCACAGUGGAGGUGGUUGAGCUGGCAAUGAGCAUGGUAAUGGUUCUGAUGACCCUUGAAAGGCCAAAUAAGUCUCCUUCAUCAGGACUGAUGGGCUGGAAUAUAUGGACACUAUUUAAAAUUUUAUGUAUGCUUUAUAUCCUUAUAAAUAAAUUGCUCUUUACUAUAUGUAUUGUAUUUUGAUAAAUAAUAAAAAUUCUCAUUAAC